UGAGUUCACGACUUUAUGAAAUCAAGGGAGGGAUUUAGGGGACGCCAGGGUCGAAUUCUGUUUGAAUUUGAAUACGAUCUAGUGAUUUGUGCUUACAUUGAAAUGUUGAGUUUGUACAUUAAAAUAAUUGAUUUAAAUUUAAGUUUUCCAAGAAAUAAAGCCAGACCAGAGACUGCGGGUCUUGAAAACAAUUUACACUUCUCCUAUAAUUUACACUCCAGACUUCGGUAUAAUGGGAGAAAUCGACUUUUACUGUUAAUUUGAAAAAGAUGCCAUCCCGAGUGAGCCAAUACUGUGCCUGUCAUCAGUACUGGAGUUUUUGAAGAAAAUGGAAGGAAAAUGGGAACAAAAUCAUCAAACAUGAAUGCCAGUUCAGUAUUUGCAGAAAUGAAAGUGUCUUGUAGUUCAAGAAUAAAACAAGAAUAAACACGCGGAGAACAGAAAUUGAAAAACAGCUAAUUGAAGUCGAAACCGAUUUGAGACGACGAGUGUGUCGUCAGUAAUUCAAGAAAUAAUUUGCUACCCUACAAGCUGUUGUCUAUUCAUUGGGAGGAAAAAUUGAAGAUGAAAGCUUGAAAUGCCGAGGCAAAUACCUUAUGAAAAAUUUCUUUGAAGACAGCUGCAUGCAUAAAAAACAUAAAUAUGGCAAUGACCUCAAACAAUUUGCUUUAAAGUAACAUUAUUAUCUAUUUAAAGUUUACAGUUUCGUUAAAAUUGCUCUUAAUUAUGAUACACUUCAACACCCAAAAGCACUUUUGUGGUGGUAUGAAAAUUUGAAGGGGGAAGCAGUUUGUUGAAUUAUUUGAGUUGCUGAAAAUGGAAGUUUAAAACACUGCUUAUUAGUUGAUAUGCAAUAUAACUUAAUUGAAUUUGUAACUGCUCAUAAAAGAAAAAAAAUGAUGCUUUAUCACGAAUUUAGGGAUUCUUUCAUGGGUAACUCUAUGCAAUAAUGAUUUCUUUUUGAUUUCACAGUCAUUGGUAGAUGUUUAUAGUUUAACAUUACUUUUUCAUUCCGCCUAAUCUGUUCAAAAGACUUGAGAAUUUCUUCAAUGACAAACUCUUUCAGAUUCUCAUUAUACAAAUUCCAUAAAAUUCAGCUGCUUCCACUUCUAUUGAUCUGAGAAUUAACCAUUGUGAAGGGAAUUAAUUUGAAGACAGUAAUUUUUAGUUUUUAGUAUAUACUUGGUGAAUAAAAUUUCAAAUAAUUUGUAUGAAGGCUAGGGUCAUAUUGACCAUUAGUAUAUGGUAAUAUUGUAUUCAAAAUAAAUUAUUUUUCACACAA